UUGGGCCCAAAGAAAGUUUUGUGGCGGCUUCAGUGCUAGUGCUGAGAGGAAACGCAAGCGAGAGCCAAAGACUACAUUCCCCAAAAGAUGCCCACUCUGGGGAAAUCAACCACCAUAAAAGAAGUUAAGGCCAUCAUGCUGGACAGACCACAUGUAGACCCUCUUGUCUACUGUCCCAGCUGAGCCCAGCCUUCCGGCCAUCCCCUCUGGGGUCCCCUGCGUGAAUGGAACCAUUUUGGACCUUCCAGACACGUCAUCCACCAGCUGACACCACACACAGACGUGGAAACCAAGGCUUAGAGAAGUGAAGACGUUCCCCAAGGACACUCAGCAAGUAGGGGGCAGAGGAGGGAUCUGAAAGGA